UUCAGAUUUAAUUGGUUUGGUUCAAGUGCUAAUUUAGAGAAUUGGUUUGGCUCAAGAUUUUUAGUCUAUCUAAUAACCUAUAAUCUAAGAAUGAAGGGUUUCUUGCCACGUGGCAAGAAACAUUGUGAAUUCAUUAGUUUUUAUAGAUAAUUAUAGAUAACAGAAGGUAUAAUCUUAGUUUCUAAUAAAGUUUUAACACUUAGGACGUCAAUAAU
rnacentral:lncRNA from 1 species